UACGGGGGGGGGUAAGCGUUGUUCGGAUUUACUGGGCGUAAAGGGCGCGUAGGCGGCGCCGCAAGUCGACUGUGAAAUCUCCGGGCUUAACCCGGAAAGGUCAGCCGAUACUGCGGGGCUAGAGUGCAGAAGGGGCAACUGGAAUUCCUGGUGUAGCGGUGAAAUGCGCAGAUAUCAGGAGGAACACCAAUUGCGAAGGCAGCUCGCUGGGACGUCACUGACGCUGAGACGCGAAAGCGUGGGGAGCAAACAGG
rnacentral:rRNA from 1 species